rnacentral:tRNA from 1 species
GCAGGGGUGGCGGAGUUUGGUCAAACGCGGCAGACUCAAGAUCUGCUGGCCAUAGGCCUGCGUGAGUUCAAAUCUCUCCCCCUGCA